GCCGCAACCCCCCUCCCCGAAAGCCCGGCCGGGCUACGGAUGCCCCCGCGCCAAGAGCGUUCCCGCCCGCCCCGCAUUCCUGGCUAACCGCGAGUCGAGGCGCCGCUCGUACCUGUUCAGCGCGAGGUGGCAAAGGGAAAACUGGUGAUGCUGGCGCUGCGGUGCUGAAUGAGACCGGCUGCCGGCCCCACACACGCUUUAUAUACCCCCAUCAGAACCUUCCAGAACUGACGCGCCCCUUCCCCGCCAGCCGGCCAAUCCUGCCGCGCCUCCCCCCCUCAGGAGCCAAUCGCGGCGAGCGGAACACGCCCCCUCAGUGACGCACACAGGAAGGAGGCGGGCCUGCCGGCCGGCGUUCUCGAACCUUCAUGCCCGGGCCCGGCUGGGGAAGGGGCCAGUCGCCGGACGGGGGUGGAGCGGAGGAAGGGCGGGAUCCAAUCAGAGCUCCAGGCUGCCGCUUUAUUUGCAUACAGGGGACUUGACGCCGGCCGGUGCGGAGACGUCGGAAGGAAGGCCGUAAUGUCAUUCCACUGUCUUCAGUGGAGUUUCUCCUGAUUUACAAGACUAUAAGUAAGAGGAGGAACAAGCCACCCUGGGAAGCCCCUACGGCAACAUGACCAACCAACUCCCUCACAUCAUAAGCUGUUUGCAUCAAGAGUGGCUUCAGCUACUGGCACAAGUGGGAG